UGAGAAAAUAGGAUGAAGGAGGAAGAAGAUGGAGAGAUAAAAGAGGAAUAAGAUAGAGGGGAGGACUAAGGGAAAUAGGUUAGGUCAGGUUAGGUUAGGUGAGGAGAAGGGAAAUGUAAGUUAGGUUAGGUCGGGUUAGGGGAGGAAAAGGGAAAUGUAGGUUAGGUUAGGUUAGGUGAGGAAAAGGGAAAUGUAGGUUAGGUUAGGUUAGGUGAGGAAAAGGGAAAUGUAGGUUAGGUUAGGUUAGGUGAGGAAAAGGGAAAUGUAGGUUAGGUUAGGUUAGGUGAGGAAAAGGGAAAUGUAGGUUAGGUUAGGUUAGGUGAGGAAAAGGGAAAUGUAGGUUAGGUUAGGUUAGGUGAGGAAAAGGGAAAUGUAGGUUAGGUUAGGUUAGGUGAGGAAAAGGGAAAUGUAGGUUAGGUGAGGUUAGGAAUAAGGGAAAUAUGGGUUAGCCUUUUUUAAUCAAGUUACAAGAGGUAUGGAAUGGAUGGAGAGGAGGAGUGAAGGAAAUAUGAUAAAGAAAGGAGAAUGCUAUGAACAAAAAUGAAAGAUGGAAAAGAAUGGUUGAAGGAAGAAGGAAAAGGAGGGAGAUAUGAUGAAGGAAGGAAUGAUAUGGACAAGAGGAAUGAAGGAAAUAUGAGUUACCCAGAGAAAUAGUGUGAAAUGGAGAGCAGAUAUGAGUUAAAUCUAUCUUAAGUUACAGAAG